GAUGAAGAACGUAGUGAAAUGCGAUAAGUAAUGUGAAUUGCAGAAUUCAGUGAAUCAUCGAAUCUUUGAACGCACAUUGCGCCCCCUGGUAUUCCGGGGGGCAUGCCUGUUCGAGCGUCAUUUCAACCCUCAAGCUCUGCUUGGUAUUGGGCGUCGCCGGGGAGUCUCCCCGGCGUGCCUCAAAGCCAUCGGCGGUGGUGCCUUUCUCUAAGCGUGGUAGAAUUUUUAUUCGCUUCUGAGUUGGGCUUCGCCUGCCGGACAAUCCGGGCCCUCGCGGCCCACCUUCUCAGGUUGACCUCGGAUCAGGUAGGGAUACCCGCUGAACUUAAGCAUAUCAAUAAGCGGAGGA
rnacentral:misc_RNA from 1 species